rnacentral:rRNA from 1 species
UACGAAGGGGGCUAGCGUUGCUCGGAAUUACUGGGCGUAAAGGGCGCGUAGGCGGUUCGGUAAGUCGGGUGUGAAACCUCCAGGCUCAACCUGGAGAUGCCACCUGAUACUGCUGUGACUCGAGUCCGGUAGGGGAGCGUGGAAUUCCUGGUGUAGCGGUGAAAUGCGCAGAUAUCAGGAGGAACACCAGCGGCGAAGGCGGCGCUCUGGGCCGGAACUGACGCUGAGGAGCGAAAGCGUGGGUAGCAAACAGG